rnacentral:rRNA from 1 species
UGGGGAAUAUUGGGCAAUGGGCGCAAGCCUGACCCAGCCAUGCCGCGUGAGUGAUGAAGGUUUUCGGAUCGUAAAGCUCUGUGGGGAGGGAAGAAACAGUACGGUGCUAACAUCACCGGACCUUGACGGUACCUCCUUAGCAAGCACCGGCUAACUCCGUGCCAGCAGCCGCGGUAAUACGGAGGGUGCAAACGUUGCUCGGAAUCAUUGGGCGUAAAGCGCACGUAGGCGGCCUGGUAAGUCGGAUGUGAAAUCCCUCGGCUCAACCGAGGAAGUGCAUUCGAAACUGCCAGGCUUGAAUAUGGAAGAGGGUCGCGGAAUUCCCGGUGUAGAGGUGAAAUUCGUAGAUAUCGGGAGGAACACCAGUGGCGAAGGCGGCGACCUGGGCCAAUAUUGACGCUGAGGUGCGAAAGCGUGGGGAGCAAACAGGAUUAGAUACCCCCGUAGUCC